rnacentral:rRNA from 1 species
UACGUAGGGGGCAAGCGUUGUCCGGAAUUAUUGGGCGUAAAGCGCGUGUAGGCGGCUUUGCAAGUCGGGUGUGAAAGCCCUCAGCUCAACUGAGGAAGUGCGCCCGAAACUGCAGGGCUAGAGUCCUGGAGAGGAAGGUGGAAUGCUUGGUGUAGAGGUGAAAUUCGUAGAUAUCAAGCGGAACACCGGUGGCGAAGGCGGCCUUCUGGACAGUGACUGACGCUGAGACGCGAAAGCGUGGGGAGCAAACAGG